rnacentral:rRNA from 1 species
UACGUAGGGUGCGAGCGUUAAUCGGAAUUACUGGGCGUAAAGCGUGCGCAGGCGGUUCGACAAGUCCGAUGUGAAAGCCCCGGGCUCAACCUGGGAAUGGCAUUGGAAACUGGCGAACUUGAGUACGAUAGGGGAUAGCGGAAUUCUCGGUGUAGCGGUGGAAUGCGUAGAUAUCGAGAGGAACACCAAUGGCGAAGGCAGCUAUCUGGAUCGUAACUGACACUCAUGAGCGAAAGUGCGGGGAGCAAACAGG